AUGAGGUGCCACGAGCAAACGCCUCUGCGCUCUUCACUGUGGUUGAAUAAAUGGAAAGCCAGUUCCACUCUGAGGGGCAGAAGGAUCCAGGGGCCCCAUCCUGAUCCGGCCCUGUCCCGCUGUGAUGAGGCGGUCUGGGCUGACGGCACAGUAACUGAUCCAAGUAGAGACCCACGGCCAGAGCGGCCAGACUCUGAAGAAAGGCACUCUGUACUGCUCCUGAAGCAGUGUGGGAAGGCGUUCAAGAAAGACGGCCAUGCAGGGGGCACGAUUCAAUCCCAGAAUGCCCUGACUUCGCAGAACGGAACGGCAGGAGGCCAGAACGUGAUUCUGAGAAAUCCAGUCUGGGGUACAGCGAAUUAGCAAAGCAUCCUGAGAUAGAAGAAACCGAAUGAAACAUUAUUUACAUACACAUUUUUUAAUUAAACAUUAACUGAAUGAAACACUUUUUCAGAGAGUGUUCGGUACCUUUGAUCUUCCAGAACAAGCAGUCACCCCUAUGUGUGGUAUCCAGGUGGUACAAACCACAGAGCCCAUUCCUGUAACCACAGUCUGCAGGACCGAACCAUCCUAGAGCAGAGGGGAGCAUUUACAAUCAAAAAACAAGAGUUUUUUUUUUUUAAAGCUAAUAAAAGAAAUCCCAAAAAAGAAGUGUUUGGCUCACCCUGAGAGACCAGAUGUUGAGCACACCUCCGAUUCCUCCAGACACCAGUGCAAGUCCACUGGGACAAAAAGACAGGGUCUUUACCGCGGUAAUGUGUCCACUCAGGCGGAACACACAUUUAGCAUUGCCCCGCUAAAAAGAAAGAGAGAGCUUCCUUAAACUCUGCUAACAAACUCCAAAAAACACCUUAAGUGACAAUUGAUCUAACAGAGAGAAAGUGAAUUAAAAGGUGAGGUUAAACAGGUAAUAAAUAAGAAGGCUUAAUUUACAAAAAAAAUAAUAGAUAAAUGAAUAAAUCUGACCUUGAUGGCAGUGCUCUUGUCUUGGCUGGUAGAUGGGGCGAGGAAACUGGGCACUACGACAUUAGCGCCACCUUGAGGAAGAGUCCACACAUACAGGAGGCCAUUUUGACAUCCACUGAGGAAAUAAAGGCCAAUCUUAACAUCUGGAUCAUGGAUAAGACAUCUGUACAUCUAAUAUAACACUAAUAUAACUAAUAUAACAGCUAAAUGUCCACAUAUCCUAAAAAUACUUUAUGAAGUACUCAUUAAAGCUAUCAAAAAAGCUCCUCUGAGAUACCUUAUAUCCAUUUUUCAUGUAAAUGGUGUGGAAAAUAAUAAUAGUGUGAUAUUAUACAUAUCAAAGUCCACAUACAAUGCUUGAUUCUUCUCAGUUAUAAUGUUAAUAUUUCUUCCACCAAAGUCAUAAUUUAAUUUUACACAUUUUGUUUUAUUUUCAACACUUUCUAUGACUUUUCAUUUUUAGGUUUUACUUCUAUUCCAUCUACUUUCUAAAUGAAUGCCACAGCUCUUAUUUAUGGACAAUGUCCCAGUGCAUUUAUAAUUUUUAAUACAUAUUUAAAUUGAAACGUUCAAUCAAAAUGUCCUAACUUGGUCUUUCAAUGAAAAUUAGAAUUCUCCACAUCUCAAAAUCAAUUCAAUAAUCAACAAACGAUGGAGAGGUCGGAAUCCCCACCUUCGUUACUUUAAUAAAACAAAAAUAUAAAAACCGUAGUUUAUUUCAGAUAGUUUGCAAGGCAACAUUUUGAAUACUACAGUAGGUGGGCGUCUGGCUCUGAAAGUCUCUGUAAUGUUGAUUAAGCAUUAUGGCACACUUACACUGCCAUCAUGAGACGAGGCUCUGACCCUCUCCCGGGCAGAGGGCACCACUCGGCCGUGUUGACGGUGCCUGCGUGGAACAGAGAGUGGAGGGUGACCCAUGCACCGCUGGCACGACCCCAGAUCUUCACCACCUCCGAGCGGCCGACAGACAGCAGCAGAUGUCCGGUAGGAUCCCACCUGAGUGCACUCACACUCUCCUGUCAACAUACAGGCAAGUAGGGGUUUAUUUGUUUCAGAAUUAUCUGUUCACACACUGUAUCCCAAUCUGUGUGAGGUGUGUGAAGACAUUCAAUUCAUUUUAUUGAUCAGUUAAUAAGUCAUCAUUCAAAAGUUUUCCCAAAAGACUUCAUGUUGCAUUUUAUUGAGCUAAUGAAAAUAAGCUCAAUAAUAAGCUUAUAAAAAUAAGCUUAUAAAAGCUUAUGGCUGGUAAAAGUUUUAAUUCUUUUGAAAGAAGUCUCUUACUGUAUGUUCAACCAAGGGUCUAUUAAUUUUAUCAAAAAUAUAGUAAAAGCAGUUAGAAAAAUAAAUACAAUUUAAAAUAAUUUCUUUCUAUUUUAAUAUAUAUAUUAAAAUGUGAUUUAUUCCUGUGAUACAAAGCUACAUUUUCAGCCAUUACUCAAGUCUUUGGAGUCAUAUGAUUGUUCAGAAAUCAUUCUAAAAUGCUGAUUUGGACCUACAAAAACAUUAUUUGUUAUAAUAAUAAUAAUAAUAAUAAUAGUAGUAGUAAUAAUAAUAAUAAUAAUUACUAAUAUUAUAAUUAUUGUUGCUGAAUAUUUUUUUAUUUAAAAAAGCAUUUAUUUGAAAUAUAACUAACCUCACACUAAUUAGGUUUAGAAAAAUAAAAUAUUUAAAGAAGCUCAUUGAAGAAAACGUUUUCUAAAAUGUUGCUUAGGCUUCAUGUAACUUCCACCCAGCGAUUUGCAAACAUUCACAAACAAACAUUUAAAAUGGUCCAAAGAAAUGUAUUUUUUCUCCCAUUGAGAAAACCAGACUCAGUAUUGCCGGAUGAAGUGUUUGUCUUCAGUUUGAGGACUCACAGGAAACGCUGUUAGCAGAAUGGGCGGGUCAGUUUCGUAGCUUUCUGCUGUCGCUAGGAGAAUUUUGCCAUCGGGAUAGCCCACGGCAAAGGGUUUAUCAACACUGUACCAGGCCAGACACUGAGGUGCUGAACACAAGAAGGACAAAGACAGCGAUAGUUCAUUCACUACUGAAUUAUUAGCCUUUUUCGCCAAACACAUUAAAACAGAGCUCUUCAGCACAUUUGUGGACCAACCUUCUUUCCUGUAGCAGUGAGUGAGCUCUGUUCGCUCCACCCACAAGUCGUCUGUGACCUCCAGCCAGCAGAGGGAGCCGUCCAGCCGGCCCACCAGCAGACUCUCAGGUGGGCUGACCUGACUGCAGGCUUCCUGACUGAGGAACGGAGUGGAGGUCUGAACCCACGAGAGCGCAGUGACCCAGGAGGACUGAGCCUCCAUGUGUGCCUGAGUACCUACAGCAGAGAAGACAAACAGCAACGCUUUCAAGGUCCUUGUUCCAGGACAUUUUAAAUAUACUGUAGUUUUUAUCCAGCAGGACUUGACUGGAUUGUGAAUUAUUAGUCAAAACAACAAUAAACUAAUAAAGUUGAUCAAAUUAGUGUAAAACAUCCCAUAGAACACCCUAGCAACUUCCAAAGCAUCUUACUGGCAACUUUUGCACAGGCAAGCAUCACUCAUAUUUUUUGGAAAAGUAAUCAAAAUCAUGUUAAUUAAUAUUUUGAUUUUAAUAUAUAUAUAUAUAUAUAUAUAUUUUUUUUUUAAUAGAUAUGUCAUAAAUAUUUUUUCCCUAAC
rnacentral:lncRNA from 1 species